rnacentral:rRNA from 1 species
GUGCUAAUCUGCGAUAAGCGCCGGUAAGGUGAUAUGAACCGUUAUAACCGGCGAUACCCGAAUGGGGAAACCCAGUGUGAUUCGUCACACUAUCAUUAACUGAAUCCAUAGGUUAAUGAGGCGAACCGGGGGAACUGAAACAUCUAAGUACCCCGAGGAAAAGAAAUCAACCGAGAUUCCCCCAGUAGCGGCGAGCGAACGGGGAGGAGCCCAGAGCCUGAAUCAGCAUGUGUGUUAGUGGAAGCGUCUGGAAAGGCGCGCGAUACAGGGUGACAGCCCCGUACACAAAAGCGCAUGUGCUGUGAGCUCGAUGAGUAGGGCGGGACACGUGGUAUCCUGUCUGAAUAUGGGGGGACCAUCCUCCAAGGCUAAAUACUCCUGACUGACCGAUAGUGAACCAGUACCGUGAGGGAAAGGCGAAAAGAACCCCGGCGAGGGGAGUGAAAAAGAACCUGAAACCGUGUACGUACAAGCAGUGGGAGCCCCGAUUUAGCAGGGUGACUGCGUACCUUUUGUAUAAUGGGUCAGCGACUUAUAUUCUGUAGCAAGGUUAACCGUAUAGGGGAGCCGUAGGGAAACCGAGUCUUAACUGGGCGUUAAGUUGCAGGGUAUAGACCCGAAACCCGGUGAUCUAGCCAUGGGCAGGUUGAAGGUUGGGUAACACUAACUGGAGGACCGAACCGACUAAUGUUGAAAAAUUAGCGGAUGACCUGUGGCUGGGGGUGAAAGGCCAAUCAAACCGGGAGAUAGCUGGUUCUCCCCGAAAGCUAUUUAGGUAGCGCCUCGUGAAUUCAUCUCCGGGGGUAGAGCACUGUUUCGGCUAGGGGGCCAUCCCGGCUUACCAACCCGAUGCAAACUGCGAAUACCGGAGAAUGUUAUCACGGGAGAC